rnacentral:rRNA from 1 species
UACGGGGGGGGGAAGCGUUGUUCGGAAUUACUGGGCGUAAAGGGCUCGUAGGCGGCCAACUAAGUCAUACGUGAAAUCCCUCAGCUUAACUGGGGAACUGCGUCCGAUACUGGAUGGCUUGGAUUUGGGAGAGGGAUGCGGAAUUCCAGGUGUAGCGGUGAAAUGCGUAGAUAUCUGGAGGAACACCGGUGGCGAAGGCGGCAUCCUGGACCAAUAUUGACGCUGAGGAGCGAAAGCCAGGGGAGCAAACGGG